CCCGUUCCCAUGCCGAACACGGAAGUUAAGCUCUUCAGCGCCGAUGGUAGUCGGGGGUUUCCCCCUGUGAGAGUAGGACGCCGCCAAGC
rnacentral:rRNA from 3 species